rnacentral:lncRNA from 1 species
CUGGACAGGGUCACUUCACUCACUGAGUUCUCCUUGGCAACAUGGAGCCAGACUGACUUGGGUUUGAGCUGUGGCUUUCAUUUUCUGGGCAGCUCUUUCUUCUCAUAAUGCAUCAUCCCUGCCUGAUGGGGGUGUCAAAGAGUAAAAGGCAAGAAUGAUGCACCGUGUCCAGCAUGGUGCCUGGAGCUUGUGAUAAGCAGAGGUUCAUUGAGGACGUGAUCACACUGCGAUUGCCCGCAGGAUUGACAUCUGGGAGAGGGCUGCACUGGAGUCGGAAGAGCCCCACGCCUGCCAAACGCCACCUGUCGUCCAGGGCCACCCUGCCAGAGAUGAGCCCACCUAGGCAUCAGUGCCCGUGUUUUGCCCCCCAGGUGAGAUGUCCUCAAUUCCUUAGCAAGCCAUCUGUCUGUCACCAUUUCUUCUUGCUGGUGUGCCGGAGAAGUCAGUUGCUGGGGGAGCAUCCGUGUCUAGGAGGAGAACUCUCAUCAAGGGUGGGCCCUGCCCUGGGUUAUACCCCUCUGUUCACAGGGGAAGCCCAGUCAACAGCAAUGCUGAGUACUGCGUCAGAACUGUCUCAAAGGUGGACGCCUGGGUGGCUCAGAUGGCUGAGCAUCUGCCUUCGGCUCAGGGCAUGA